UGCCUGGUGGUCCAGUGGCAAGGACUCUGUGCUCCCAAUGCAGGGGCCCAGGUUCCACCCCUGGACAGGGAA
rnacentral:tRNA from 1 species